GUGUCAGCAGCCGCGGUAAUACGGAGGGUGCGAGCGUUGUCCGGAAUCACUGGGCGUAAAGGGCGCGUAGGCGGCGCGAGCAGUCGAUCGUGAAAGUCCGGAGCUCAACUCCGGAUCGGCGGUCGAUACUCUCGUGCUUGAGCACUGUAGAGGCAGAUGGAAUUCCGGGUGUAGCGGUGGAAUGCGUAGAGAUCCGGAAGAACACCGGUGGCGAAGGCGGUCUGCUGGGCAGUUGCUGACGCUGAUGCGCGACAGCGUGGGGAGCAAACAGGAUUAGAAACCCCGGUAGUCC
rnacentral:rRNA from 1 species